UUCAUUCGUUAGUUGAUAUUACUCCAAUACCCAGAGCUCGAUGUCCACGAUUUGGAUUCGUUGGUCAGGACAGCCACGAUAGCUCAAAGGAUUGUUUUCGAAUGCAGGAGUACGACUAGAGUAAGCGUACUCUAGAGAGCCAUCAAGCCAAAGGCUGUAUCUUCCAUUACCCCCACCAAAUGCCAAAAAGCUUUUGGUGCAAUAUGCAACAAAAUUGGAAUUUCCUACGAAAGGGUAAUGUACAUACUUUUUGGGAGGAAAAUAUUUCCACAAGAAGGUUUCCUCGGAACCAAAGUAAUGAGGUGCAGGAAUUAAAUAAUCAGGGAUAAAAACUCCAAAAACAUCGCCGUCUGUAUCGCGCACAGCUAAAAUGCAAGCCCCUUUAGGAUGGCCGCUUCGAGCUUUUUCCUUUUCGCAGGCUAAGUACAUUGUUUGAAGAGAUGCGCCGUCAUGUUGCAACGAAUAGAUUCGUUUCCAAGUUUCAGCAGAAGCAUAUCUUGCUGGCAAGUUCUCAACGAUGUGACU